rnacentral:rRNA from 1 species
AUUGAACGCUGGCGGCAGGCCUAACACAUGCAAGUCGAGCGGUAGCACAGAGCGCUUGCUCUCGGGUGACGAGCGGCGGACGGGCGAGCAAUGUCUGGGAAACUGCCCGAUGGAGGGGGAUAACUACUGGAAACGGUAGCUAAUACCGCAUAACGUCGCAAGACCAAAGAGGGGGACCUUCGGGCCUCUUGCCAUCGGAUGUGCCCAGAUGGGAUUAGCUAGUAGGUGGGGUAACGGCUCACCUAGGCGACGAUCCCUAGCUGGUCUGAGAGGAUGACCAGCCACACUGGAACUGAGACACGGUCCAGACUCCUACGGGAGGCAGCAGUGGGGAAUAUUGCACAAUGGGCGCAAGCCUGAUGCAGCCAUGCCGCGUGUAUGAAGAAGGCCUUCGGGUUGUAAAGUACUUUCAGCGGGGAGGAAGGCGAUAAGGUUAAUAACCUUGUCGAUUGACGUUACCCGCAGAAGAAGCACCGGCUAACUCCGUGCCAGCAGCCGCGGUAA